rnacentral:rRNA from 1 species
CCUACGGGUGGCAGCAGUGAGGAAUAUUGGUCAAUGGACGCGAGUCUGAACCAGCCAAGUAGCGUGAAGGAUGACUGCCCUACGGGUUGUAAACUUCUUUUAUAAAGGAAUAAAGUGAGGCACGUGUGCCUUUUUGUAUGUACUUUAUGAAUAAGGAUCGGCGAACUCGGUCCCAGCGGCCGCGGUAAUACGGAGGAUCCGAGCGUUAUCCGGAUUUGUUGGGUUGAAAGGGAGCGUAGAUGGGUUGUUAAGUCAGUUGUGAAAGUUUGCGGCUCAACCGUAAAAGUGCAAUUGAUACUGGCAGUCUUGAGUACAGUUGAGGUAGGCGGAAUUCGUGGUGUAGCGGUGAAAUGCUUAGAUAGCACGAAGAACUCCGAUUGCGAAGGCAGCUUUCUAAACUGCAACUGACAUUGAGGCUCGAAAGUGUGGGUAUCAAACAGGAUUAGAUACCCGUGUAGUC